rnacentral:misc_RNA from 1 species
GAUGAAGAACGUAGCGAAAUGCGAUAAGUAAUGUGAAUUGCAGAAUUCAGUGAAUCAUCGAAUCUUUGAACGCACAUUGCGCCCCUUGGUAUUCCGGGGGGCAUGCCUGUUCGAGCGUCAUUUCAACCCUCAAGCUUCUGCUUGGUCUUGGGCCGUGCCGGCAACGGCUGGCCUUAAAACUAGUGGCGGUGCCAUCGAGCUCUACGCGUAGUAAUUCUAUCUCGCGUCUGGGCUUCGGUGGACGCUGGCCAGCAACCCCCAAUUUUCUAUGGUUGACCUCGGAUCAGGUAGGGAUACCCGCUGAACUUAAGCAUAUCAAUAAGCGGAG